UACGGAGGGUGCGAGCGUUGUCCGGAAUCACUGGGCGUAAAGGGCGCGUAGGCGGCUGGGGAAGUCGGCGGUGAAAGCCCGGAGCUCAACUCCGGGUCGGCCGUCGAGACUCCUCGGCUCGAGCUCACUAGAGGCAGAUGGAAUUCCGGGUGUAGCGGUGGAAUGCGUAGAGAUCCGGAAGAGCACCGGUGGCGAAGGCGGUCUGCUGGGGUGAGGCUGACGCUGAGGCGCGACAGCGUGGGGAGCAAACAGG
rnacentral:rRNA from 1 species